CCACCAUGUGUACUCUUUGGUUGAAGUUUUAGUCCCUGAGAGCUCUGAGGAAAGAAAACAAUGAAGGAAGAAAAUAUACAGCAAAAUUUUGUAACUCUGGAAUCAAUAUGGUUUGACAAAUAAAUGAACUUUAUGUUCUGGAUUGAUUAAG